GACGAACGCUGGCGGCGUGCUUAACACAUGCAAGUCGAACGAUGAUGCUGGAGCUUGCUCCAGUUGAUUAGUGGCGAACGGGUGAGUAACACGUGAGCAAUCUGCCCUUGACUCUGGGAUAACUGCGGGAAACUGUAGCUAAUACCGGAUACUUUCACCGGAAGGCAUCUUUUGGUGAUGAAAGAAUUUCGGUCAGGGAUGAGCUCGCGGCCUAUCAGCUUGUUGGUGAGGUAACGGAUCACCAAGGCGACGACGGGUAACCGGCCUGAGAGGGUGACCGGUCACACUGGGACUGAGACACGGCACAGACUCCUACGGGAGGCAGCAGUGGGGAAUAUUGCACAAUGGGCGCAAGCCUGAUGCAGCAACGCCGCGUGAGGGAUGAAGGCCUUCGGGUUGUAAACCUCUUUUAGCAGGGAAGAAGCGAAAGUGACGGUACCUGCAGAAAAAGCACCGGCUAACUACGUGCCAGCAGCCGCCGUAA
rnacentral:rRNA from 1 species